UGUUAUUGUACACACGCAACUUCCUGUUUCUCUCACAGAAUGAUUCCUUCGCUAGUACAAAGAACUCUUCAUCCCAUGGGGAAAAAGCCUGAACUUCUUCCAUAGUUCCGAAGUCUUUUUUUUUGGUUCUGUUACAUCUGAUCACGCUGUCUGAAACAACUGUUUUCUUCUUACUGAGAUUCGUGCAAACUUUGGCACCUUGUGAGUCUGUUUGUAAAUAUGCGCAAGUGCAUUGUUAAAGGCUGCCCAUCACGGCAGAUGCCUGGAAGAUGCUCAAGAGAGAUAAUCUUUCAUAUUUUUCCCAAAUGUCCGGUGAAAGCACGACGUUGGCUGGAAAGUACAGGGCAGCAUUUUGAGGACAUGGAUACCUUGAUCAAAGAGGUAACAGAAACCAAACGCUCAAACUACCGUCUGUGUUCAACUCAUUUCACUGUGAACAGCUAUGAAAUCAUUGGUUCACGUAAAUGCCUAAAGAAAUCAGCUAUGCCAACAAUUUAUGAGUACACAAAAAGUAGUGCACAAUCUACUCUCAAGGUACCAAAAGUUGAACCAAUAUUUUCAACGGAUAAUACCCCUAGUGCUGGAACAUCAGGUGAGACAGCGACAGCGGAAAACUCAGAACGUUUUGGGACAGAAAGGAAAUUUAUUGUGUACGAGUCCUGUCUUGAUCAACUAAUUGGAAACAUAAAAUGUAACUAUCAGGGACAUUGCAAUGGAAAUAUUCUCAAAUUUAAAAAAGAAGUUUCGGGUACAUUGUUGACUGUAAGGGGAGAGUGUGAACACGGCCAUUUUACAAUAUUAUGGAAUAGUGAACCAAUUAAAAUUAAGGUCCUAUAGGAAAUACACUUGUCUGUGCAUUAAACCAUUGUAUUUAAUACAUGUAAAUAAACAAAACAGAGUAUAGAAUAUAGUUAUAUAAACAGUGUUAAACACUAUUUUUCCAGUGCUUGUAACUGGAUUGUCUUACUACAAAUGUUGAAAAUCUGAAGUAAAUAGUUUUUUUCUGGA